CACUAACAUGAUGAGGAAGAUAUCAUUAAAGAAGAAACUGAAGCGUGGAGCUAAAGUAAAUACAACAAGGUGGGAUUUAAGCAAAAGGCCUGCCUUCCUGUCUCCUGUGCACCACAGCCCCAGAGUAGGACACUCAGAAGGGAGCAGUGAUGACCGUGUCCAACACCUGUGUCCCUAAGUCAAGACCCACCCAAGACUGUGGUAGGUCAUGUUCGGAGCAAUGCUUUCCUGUGGCUGAGGCCUGCCUGCCUUUGGAAAGUGCCAGGAGCCAGGAUGGAGAGUGAUGGAGGCGAGAACCUGCCCAUCCAUUCUGACUCCACUCUAAGUCAGGAGGAAGGAAUAUUUCUUAGACCUUCUGCGAUGUGACCAAGCUCCUAUACCUGGGAACUGAGUCAGAAGCCCAGCUAUCAUUGGAUCCAUUUCUUACCUUCCUGAUUCAUCUUCGCUAGAGGACAAUAAUAGAUACUGAAGUUAUCUUCAACUCCCCACUAUGCAACCUGAUAGCAGCAGAUUCCCUGUUCCUCAUCCUAAGGGUAAACCCCCAACCUCACCAACUCCGUUUCCUGCUCUUCUCUUGAUUUGAGGACAUUGUUUAUUUAUACCACGGUAAGGC